rnacentral:lncRNA from 1 species
AGAAGAUGGAUGAGAGAGGGAGGGAAGAGUGGUGAGGGUAGACAGAGAAGAUGGGGAGAGAGGGAGGCAAGAGGGGCGAGGGUAGAAAGAGAAGAACGGGGGAGAGAGGGAGGGAAGAUGGGCGAGGGUAGAAAGAGAAGAACGGGGGAGAGAGGGAGGGAAGAGUGGCGUGGGUAGACAGAGAAGAUGGGGAGAGAGGGAGGGAAGAGGGGCGAGGGUAGACAGAGAAGAUGGGGAGAAAGGGAGGGAAGAGGGGCGAGAGUAGAAAGAGAAGAACGGGGAGAGAGGGAGGGAAGAGGGGCGUGGGUAGACAGAGAAGAUGGGGAAGAGAUGGAGGGAAGAGGGGCGAGGGUAGAAAGAGAAGAACGGGGGAGAGAGGGAGGGAAGAGGGGCGAGGGUAGAAAGAGAAGAUGGAUGAGAGAGGGAGGGAAGAGUGGCGAGGGUAGACAGAGAAGAUGGGGAAGAGAUGGAGGGAAAAGAGGGGCGAGUGUAGAAAGAGAAGAACGGGGGAGAGAGGGAGGGAAAAGAGGGGCGAGGGUAGAAAGAGAAGAACGGGGGAGAGAGGGAGGGAAGAGGGGCGAGGGUAGAAAGUAUCUGUUACUGCUAAGUUAAUAAUCUAAUGGUUUAUAUCCAACUGUCCCCUUCUCUCACUUUCGCCAUCUCACUUUCUCCCUCUCUCUCUCUCCUCUGCCAUCCCCUCUCUCCUCUCCCAUCCCAUCUCUCUCCAUCUAUUCUCUCCCUCUCGCUCCAUCCCUUCAUCCUUUUGUCUAUCUCUCUCCAGAGUAAACCUAUGUUCCAGCAGCUCAGUUUGAAAGAGAACAGCCUUCCGCUCCGUUCCCCUCAGGUUGACACCAAGGAGGUGUUGUGUCGUGUGUAUGUGAGUGCUGACUCCUACCUGUGUGUUUACACACACUCUUUGCUGAGCGUCGCAGAGCUGCUGAGGGUUGUGGGUCAGAAGAUGGACCGACCAGAAGAGGACAUGGUGCUGGUCACACACACGCACACUGGAGGUACACACACACACACACACACACACACACACACACACACUGGAGGUACACACACGCGCGCGCACACACACACACACACACACACACACUGGAGGUACACACACACACACACACGCACACACACACACACACACACACACACUGGAGGUACACACACACACACGCACACACACACACACACACACACUGGAGGUACACACGCGCACACACACACACACACACACACACACACAUGCACACUGGAGGUACAUACACAGACACUGGAGGUACACACACACAGACACACACUGGAGGUACACAUACACACACACACACACACACACACACACACACACACACACACACUGGAGGUGCGCACACACAUUGUUAGAUUACUUGUUAGAUAUUACUGCAUGGUCGGAACUAGAAGCACAAGCAUUUCGCUACACUCUUCUAACCAUGUGUAUGUGACAAAUAACAUUUGUGUAUGUAUAUUAAAUAAAUACAAUUUGAUUUGA